rnacentral:rRNA from 1 species
ACGGGAGGCAGCAGUGGGGAAUAUUGCACAAUGGGGGAAACCCUGAUGCAGCGACGCCGCGUGAGUGAAGAAGUUAUUCGUAAUGUAAAGCUCUAUCAGCAGGGAAGAAAAUGACGGUACCUGACUAAGAAGCCCCGGCUAACUACGUGCCAGCAGCCGCGGUAAUACGUAUGGUGCAAGCGUUAUCCGGAUUUACUGGGUGUAAAGGGAGCGUAGACGGCAUGGCAAGCCAGAUGUGAAAGGCAGGGGCUCAACUCCUGGACUGCAUUUGGAACUGUCAAGCUAGAGUACCGGAGAGGUAAGUGGAAUUCCUAGUGUAGCGGUGAAAUGCGUAGAUAUUAGGAGGAAUACCAGUGGCGAAGGCGGCUUGCUGGACGAUAACUGACGUUGAGGCUCGAAAGCGUGGGGAGCAAACAGGAUUAGAUACCCUGGUA